AAAAUUUAGUUAAUUCAUAACAUUAAUUUGUCAAAUUAAAAUAAUUUUUUAAAUAAUUUUCC
rnacentral:tRNA from 1 species